CAGCCUGGAAUUAUUCUCAGGCCAGAGCCAGAUUAGUCAUCUCCAAACCAAAAAGACUGCCUGAGCCCCAGCUGCCCCCAGUCACCCAGCUGAGGUUGAGGGGAAGGGUCCUACCUCUUCCUUCCAUGUGCUUCCUGUCCUGAGGUCCCACUAUUUGAAAGUUGACUGAGACAUGAGACAAAGCCUAAUGGAUUGCACAGUUUCAAAUUCUUCAUAAAGUCAGAGGACAGCAGCCUGUGUCAGAUAGGUUGAUAUCACAGAAUGGGAGGAUCCAGCGUAAUUACCCGGCUGCAACAGCCUGCGGACCCAGGACUGCUUUGGAGGGAGAGCGAACGCAGGUAUUUUUAGAAAGUCUUCAGGAGCGAGAGCUGAAGAGAGGAGGUGAAAGUUCCCCCCACCUCUUGAGCUCUCCAAACCAAAGCUCAGAACGUCUACAGAGAAGGCGGCACCAGAAUGUAUCCGACAGCUCCAUCCAUAACAGCCCUGACAGGGCUGUGCCUCCCCAAACGUCCAUCGGCACUGGGGUGUGUCUCAAAAGCACUCUGCUGUUCCAAAGGUGCUUGAGCUGAGGAGCUGAGGCAGGAGGAUCACCUGGGUUUCAACUCAACCAACACGCUUUGCCACAAACUGUUGCAGUGUGCUGUUGCUGAGUGAGGCAGAGCAGUCACUGUGCCUGGCCCCAGCCCUGGCCCGGUCUGACAAUGCAGACAACGCAGGGCACAUGUGGAAAUGUGGCUAACACUGAUGACACAGAUAAGCUGGCUGUCUUGGGUAGGCUUUUCCUGCUGUGACAAAACACCAUGACCAAAAGCAACUCAGGAAGCAAGGAGUGUUUUGGUUGGUUGGUUUUUGAUUUUUGGUUUUAGUUCGUACUUGUAGGUAACAGUCCAUCACGGAGGGAAGUCAGAGCAGGAAAUCAAGGCAGGAACCUAGAGGCAGGAACUGAAGCCAAAGAAACCAUGAAGGCAUGCUGCUUAUUUGCUUGCUCCUCGUGUCUUGCUCGGCCUGAUUUCUUACAGCACCUGAAACUACCAACCAAGGGUGGCACCACCUAAAGCGAGCUUGGUCUUGUCACAUUAAUCACUAUUUAAGGAAAUGUCCCGCAGGCUUGCCUACAGCAGGAUCUUAUGGUGGCAUUUUCUCAGUUGAGGUUGCUUCCUCUCAGAUGACUUGUGGCAAGUUGACACACAGAGGAAUCUCAGUGAGAGUUUGGGAGUCCCCACAGCUUGAAAAUUGUCACGCUUCCUUCCACAGUUGAACCUACCUGCUGAAGGGUCUAAGUCCAGGGCCAGAAAUCUGGUGGCUUGAGUUUGACACCCAGAACAUGUGGUGGAAGGAGGGAACCAACUCCCAAAUGCUGUCCUCUCAUGUCCACACUUGCACCGUGGCAUCGGCACGUAUACAAUUAAUUGAUUUAAAAACAGGUUUUAAAAGAAAGAAAGUUCUGGCUCCAACAAG